GACGAACGCUGGCGGCGUGCUUAACACAUGCAAGUCGAACGGAAAGGCCCUGCUUUUGUGGGAUGCUCGAGUGGCGAACGGGUGAGUAACACGUGAGUAACCUGCCCUUGACUUUGGGAUAACUUCAGGAAACUGGGGCUAAUACCGGAUAGGAGCUCCUGCUGCAUGGUGGGGGUUGGAAAGUUUCGGCGGUUGGGGAUGGACUCGCGGCUUAUCAGCUUGUUGGUGGGGUAGUGGCUUACCAAGGCUUUGACGGGUAGCCGGCCUGAGAGGGUGACCGGCCACAUUGGGACUGAGAUACGGCCCAGACUCCUACGGGAGGCAGCAGUGGGGAAUAUUGCACAAUGGGCGGAAGCCUGAUGCAGCAACGCCGUGUGCGGGAUGACGGCCUUCGGGUUGUAAACCGCUUUCGCCUGUGACGAAGCGUGAGUGACGGUAAUGGGUAAAGAAGCACCGGCUAACUACGUG
rnacentral:rRNA from 1 species